UACGUAGGGUGCGAGCGUUGUCCGGAAUUAUUGGGCGUAAAGAGCUUGUAGGCGGUUUGUCGCGUCUGCUGUGAAAAUCCGGGGCUCAACCCCGGACUUGCAGUGGGUACGGGCAGACUAGAGUGUGGUAGGGGAGACUGGAAUUCCUGGUGUAGCGGUGAAAUGCGUAGAUAUCGUCUGGAACGCCAAAGGUGAAAACAGCUCGCUGGGGUUGUGCUGACGCUGAGACACGAAAGCCAGGGGGGCGAACGGG
rnacentral:rRNA from 1 species